UACGAAGGGUGCAAGCGUUGUUCGGAUUUACUGGGCGUAAAGAGUUCGUAGGCGGAAUAAUAAGUUAAUGGUAAAAUCCUUGGGCUUAACCCAAGACUCGCCAUUAAAACUGUUAUUCUUGAGUUUUGGAGAGGGUAAUGGAAUUGCUGGUGUAGGAGUAACAUCCGUAGAUAUCAGCAGGAACGCCGGAAGCGAAAGCGAUUACCUGGCCAAACACUGACGCUGAGGAACGAAAGCGUGGGGAGCAAACAGG
rnacentral:rRNA from 1 species